AAGCGAAACGGCCCCACAUGGGCCGUCGCCGGAACGUGGCGGUUCCGGCCUGACGAGCAGCCAAG
rnacentral:hammerhead_ribozyme from 1 species